AUAAGGUUAAGUUAAUAAGGGCGCACGGUGGAUGCCUUGGCACUAGAAGCCGAAGAAGGACGUGACUAACGACGAAAUGCUUUGGGGAGCUGUAAGUAAGCGCUGAUCCAGAGAUGUCCGAAUGGGGGAACCCACUAGUUAAUGACUAGUAUCCAUAUCUGUUAAGGAUAUGAGAAGGAAGACGCAGUGAACUGAAACAUCUAAGUAGCUGCAGGAAGAGAAAGCAAAAGCGAUUGCCUUAGUAGCGGCGAGCGAAACGGCAGGAGGGCAAACCGAAGUGUUUACACUUCGGGGUUGUAGGACUGCGAUAUAGGAUUAAUCAUUAUAGAAGAAUUACCUGGGAAGGUAAGCCAAAGAGAGUAACAGCCUCGUAUUUAAAAUGAUAGAUUAACCUUAGCAGUAUCCUGAGUACGGCGAGACACGCGAAAUCUCGUCGGAAUCUGGGAGGACCAUCUCCCAACCCUAAAUACUCUCUAGU
rnacentral:rRNA from 1 species